AGAGGGAAAAGGCCUUUGCCCGAAGUCACACAGGACAGUCUGGCUCUGGAAUCCACACCACACCCACCUCCCUGGGUUGCCUGCAGAGUCUUCCAGUGUUGGCACACCCUUGAUUCUAGGGCAGGACAUCAUUGCCUUUGUUCUACCCAAGGAAAUGACCCAGAAGGAAGCCUACUUUGCCUCUAGUGCUCCCUUGAAGUCCAGAGCCAAGAGCUGACAACAAGCCGCGCCUCCCGCUUCCUCCGUUCAGCCUCUAGUGUCAGGACUGCCUGCCCAGCCCUGGCCCUGGCACCAGGCAGCACAGCCCGAGCUCUGGCCCCCAAGGUGUCUCUUCUCCACCCCAAAGCCUAGGAGACUUCACCCCCUUUUGGUGUCUGUUAUGUUCAGUCUUCCAAGCAGCAUCCACCUCCGCCCUCCCUUCCCAGCCUGGAGAGAGAUGUGGGACAGAGGAAGAGAAGACAUGGAAGGCAUGAGCCUGACCUUCCUUGCCUGCUAUCAGCACCGGUGUCCAUGGCACAGAGGAGCGUUGUUCUGACAUCUCCAUUCUGACAAGGCAGCAGGUGACAGCUGUGAUUCCAGAGAAGACCCCCUCCCAGAGCAUACCCUUGAUAGCUGCCUCCUCAUCUGCACCCCUUCUCCUGACUCCCACCCACCAAGCCAGUGUGCUAAACCUCAUCAGAGUCUCCUAAUGCUCCGCAUGGGGUGGAAAAGCAGAGGAGCAAAGCUGGAGGUCACGGCUGGGAGGCCCCACAGGUUUGCAGCUCCUCCUGGUUGAGGUAACUUAGUCUGCAGGAACCAAUGGUGGGGCCUGGCAGGAGGAUCACCGAGCCUGUGACACCCAGGAGAUCAUGGAGAAGCUCCUGAGAGUGCACCUGGCAGAUGCCGGAAAGGUAGCAGGUCC